rnacentral:lncRNA from 1 species
UAUUCUCCAACACAACAUUUUUUUCUGGUGAGAGAGGAAAGAUGUGUGUGUACAUGCGUGCGUGUGAGAGUGUGUGUGUGCACCCACAUAGGUGUCUAUAUUCCAUUCUGUUUUGAGGACAAGAAAAGAGUGAUAACUCAAAAACAAAAGCAGUAUCCUUUAGUUUUUCAACAGUUUCUACAGCUCAAACAUUUCCAAUCAUAAGUGACCCUACUUCUUUUUUGACAGAGAUAUUCUAUUACUUCAUAGCUAUGUUUUCAAACUUUUUCCUGACCUUGCACACACAGAACACACAAGGCUGCUCCUGGCUGGCAGUGAUCAGCUGCAAAGGUGCUCCUCUGAGGGGGAUUGGGCAGGGCAUCCGCACUUUGAUUUCAGAUACUGGGAAAUGUCAAGCAACUCCUUCCAAAGGAGCUAGGGUGCACAUUCUUUCUCUGAAAACCAUGUUGCUAAUAUGAUCACCUUACAGACUUGCAUCCUCUUUCUCAUUUCAAACACAUUAAUUAUCCAUAUGUUUGGAGUGAAGUUCUUUAUGGUUUACCACAAAUAUAGGCUGUAUGGUUUUCCACAAAUAUAGGCUGCCCUGAACUAGGUGGACCCAUUCCUGUAAGUUGCUGGAUCUCUCUCCAGAGGCAUUGUCUUUGAGGGGAUUCCAUCCUGUAUAAUUUUGCUGCAUUAUUCUGCAAUCAGGAAACAAGCAGGUGGCUCUCAAGUAAAGAACUGAUGCCUUACAGAUUCAUAGGACUUAUUUCAAAAUCAAGUAUCAGGAAAAAAGGUAAUAUUAGGUAAUUUUGACCAAAGAAUCAGCAAUUCAAUGACAAAUACAUAUAGGGAUGGUGAUAUGGUUUGGCUGUGUCCCCACCCAAAUCUCAUUUUGAAUUCCCACAUGUGGUGGGAGGGACCCGGUGGGAGGUAAUGGAAUCAUGAGGGUGGGUCUUUCCUGUGCUGUUCUCAUAAUAGUGAAUAAGUCUCAUGAGAUCUGAUGGUUUUUAUAAAGGGGAGUUUCCCUGCACAAGCUCUUUUCUCUUGUCUGUCACCAUGUGAGACAUGGCUUUCACCUUCCAUCAUGAUUGUGAGGCCUCCCCAGCCACAUAGAAUUGUGUCAUGAGAGCCACCCUUCCCAAAGUAGCACUUGUGAGCAGAGGUGAUCAGAGGGCUUUCUGAAGAGUGAGGAGUGACUUCAGAGGGCCAAAAAGAAGAAAAGGGAGUGAGACAGUCGUUAAGACUCCUAAUCCCGGCUUAUUUUUACUGCUUCUCAACACAGCAUUGCAAGUGGCUGAUUUGAUGGAUGUGGCACGUGACCAAGUUCUGGCUAAUGAGAUGUCUGAAACUUAAAGUGGAAGAGAUGUAUCAUCUCCUUUUCCUUGCUCCAUCCUGCUACCUGAAAAAUGGAUGUGGUGACAAGCCCUGGAAAACCACAAGGAUGAGAACAGCACUGGAGAGAUGGUGCAGCGCAUGAUGCAAUUGCCUAGGUAUCUGAUGGCUGAGUAGAAUUUCUCUCCUCCGACUUUUACAUGGGAAGGAAAUAAAACUCUAUUUUGUUUGAAACUCUGUUAUUUUAGGUCAAUGUUUUAAGUAGCUGUAGCCAUGUACUAAUUCUUUCCACGAACAGCCAGGUUUCGCAUGAUAGCCUUCAGACAUCUGAGAGUCACGGCAUACACAGUUCUGAUAACCUCAUGUUGUUAUUGCUCUCAGGAACUGACUUGCACUUUGGCUAAACCAUCUGGACCUUCAAGCUGAAAACUGAAGUCAUUGCUUCAAUGUUACCCAAUGGAUUCUAUUACUGGGGUACACAAAGAAAAAGGAGAUGUAAAUGGGCCUGAGGGAGAGUCUGAGUGCUGGACCUGAGUCAGUUCAGAGACAUGAUCACAGAAUCACAUGAGACAUUUUGCCAAGUUUUACCAGGGACAAAAGCCAAGGUCUCUUGAAUCUCAGCCUAGUGCAGGCAUCUUUCUCCUGAUGUUUCAUCCUUCUUAAAGAACUAUCAGAAACCAAAUCUUUAGUAUAGGUACCUAAGAUAUUUUUCUAGCUUUUCCCUUUUGUUAUUUUCUAUUUAGCUGUGUUUCUCCUUGUCCGUUCUUUAUUUACUAAACUUUCUAUUGAAUAUCUUUUCUACUUAAAACUAGUCCCAUGAUUCAAAAGCGGCCCUUGUCUGGCCUACAUGGUGAAACCCCGUCUCUACUAAAAAUACAAAAAUUAGCUGGGAGUGGUGAUAGGCACCUGCAAUCCCAGCUACUUAGGAGGCCGAGGCAGGAGAAUUGCUUGAACCCAGGAGGCAGAGGUCGCAGUGAGCCAAGAUCAUGCCACCGCACUCCAGCCUGGGUG